rnacentral:tRNA from 1 species
GGAGAGAUGGCUCAGAGGUUAAGAGCACUGACUGAGGUCCAGAGGUCCUGAGUUCAAUUCCCAGCAACCACA